rnacentral:rRNA from 1 species
AUUGAACGCUGGCGGCAGGCCUAACACAUGCAAGUCGAGCGAGCGGCGGACGGGUGAGUAAUGUCUGGGAAACUGCCUGUUGGAGGGGGAUAACUACUGGAAACGGUAGCUAAUCCCGCAUACCAUCAGAUGUGCCCAGACGGGAUUAGCUGGUAGGUGGGGUAACGGCCCACCUAGGCGACGAUCCCUAGCUGGUCUGCGAGGGUGACCAGACACACUGGAACGGAGACACGGCCCAGACUCCUACGGGAGGCAGCAGUGGGGAAUAUUGGACAAUGGGCGAAAGCCUGAUGGAGCCAUGCCGCGUGUGUGAAGAAGGCCUUCGGAUUGUAAAGCACUGUCAGCGGGGAGGCGUUACCCACAGAAGAAGCACCGGCUAACUCCGUGCCAGCAGCCGCGGUAAUAC